rnacentral:rRNA from 1 species
GAUGAACGCUAGCGGCAGGCUUAAUACAUGCAAGUCGAGGGGCAGCGCAGUGUAGCAAUACAUGGGCGGCGACCGGCAAACGGGUGCGGAACACGUACGCAACCUUCCUUUAAGUGGAGAAUAGCCCAGGGAAACUUGGAUUAAUACUUCGUAACAUUAUGAGAUGGCAUCAUCUUAUAAUUAUAGCUCCGGCGCUUAAAGAUGAGCGUGCGUCUGAUUAGGUAGUUGGCGGGGUAACGGCCCACCAAGCCUGCGAUCAGUAACUGGUGUGAGAGCACGACCAGUCACACGGGCACAGAGACACGGGCCCGACUCCUACGGGAGGCAGCAGUAAGGAAUAUUGGACAAUGGGCGCAAGCCUGAUCCAGCCAUACCGCGUGGGUGAAGAAGGCCUUCGGGUUGUAAAGCCCUUUUGUUGGGAAAGAAAUCCAUCUGGCUAAUACCCGGGUGGGAUGACGGUACCCAAAGAAUAAGCACCGGCUAACUUCGUGCCAGCCGCCGCCGUAAUAC